GCUCAGGUGGCCUAGUGGUUAGAGCGUCUGCCGCGGGUGCGGGAGGUUGUGGAUUCAAACCCCGACCUAGUCUUAAACA